rnacentral:rRNA from 1 species
CCUACGGGAUGCAGCAGUGGGGAAUAUUGGACAAUGGGGGGAACCCUGAUCCAGCGACGCCGCGUGAGUGAAGAAGUAUUUCGGUAUGUAAAGCUCUAUCAGCAGGGAAGAAAGGAAUGACGGUACCUGACUAAGAAGCCCCGGCUAACUACGUGCCAGCAGCCGCGGUCAUACGUAGGGGGCAAGCGUUAUCCGGAUUUACUGGGUGUAAAGGGAGCGUAGACGGUUACGCAAGUCUGGAGUGAAAGGCGGGGGGCCAACCCCCGGACUGCUUUUGAAACUGUAUAACUGGAGUGCAGGAGAGGAAAGUGGAAUGCGUAGUGUAGCGGUGAAAUGCGUAGAUAUUAGGCGGAACCCCAGUGGCGAAGGCAGCUUACCGGACUGCAACUGACGUUGAGGCUCGAAAGCGUGGGGAGCAAACAGGAUUAGAUACCCGAGUAGUC